AAGCCUUCCAAAAAAGGCAUCUAUGUGUCGCCAAUUAAAAAGGCUUUUCCAUUCAAGACAGCCAAAGUGGCUGCAGUUAAAGUCCGCCAGAAGCCAGUGGAAGGACAGAAGACAGUCUCUGACCCCAGUGUGGCUGGAAACAAGCCAGAUAAGGUAUGUCUUCAGCAUGCUUCUUUGUAUUGUCUUACAGUUGGAUAUGGUGUCGAGACUUUUUCCAGUGAGCAAAAACACUUCCGUUAUGUGAUGUGAAUUGUUUAGGCUGCAGUUAAAGUCCGCCAGAAGCCAGUGGAAGGACAGAAGACAGUCUCUGACCCCAGUGUGGCUGGAAACAAGCCAGAUAAGGUAUGUCUUCAGCAUGCUUCUUUGUAUUGUCUUACAGUUGGAUAUGGUGUCGAGACUUUUUCCAGUGAGCAAAAACACUUCCGUUAUGUGAUGUGAAUUGUUUAGGCUGCAGUUAAAGUCCGCCAGAAGCCAGUGGAAGGACAGAAGACAGUCUCUGACCCCAGUGUGGCUGGAAACAAGCCAGAUAAGGCUGCAGUUAAAGUCCGCCAGAAGCCAGUGGAAGGACAGAAGACAGUCUCUGACCCCAGUGUGGCUGGAAACAAGCCAGAUAAGGCUGCAGUUAAAGUCCGCCAGAAGCCAGUGGAAGGACAGAAGACAGUCUCUGACCCCAGUGUGACUGGAAACAAGCCAGAUAAGGCUGCAGUUAAAGUCC